rnacentral:rRNA from 2 species
ACGGGAGGCAGCAGUGGGGAAUAUUGGACAAUGGGGGAAACCCUGAUCCAGCGACGCCGCGUGAGUGAAGAAGUAUUUCGGUAUGUAAAGCUCUAUCAGCAAGGAAGAAAAUGACGGUACUUGACUAAGAAGCCCCGGCUAACUACGUGCCAGCAGCCGCGGUAAUACGUAGGGGGCAAGCGUUAUCCGGAUUUACUGGGUGUAAAGGGAGCGUAGACGGCAAAGCAAGUCUGAAGUGAAAUCCCGGGGCUCAACCCUGGAACUGCUUUGGAAACUGUUUAGCUAGAGUGCAGGAGAGGUAAGUGGAAUUCCUAGUGUAGCGGUGAAAUGCGUAGAUAUUAGGAGGAACACCAGUGGCGAAGGCGGCUUACUGGACGAUAACUGACGUUGAGGCUCGAAAGCGUGGGGAGCAAACAGGAUUAGAUACCCUGGUA